CAGCAGCCGCGGUAAUACGGAGGGUGCGAGCGUUAAUCGGAAUUACUGGGCGUAAAGCGUGCGCAGGCGGUUUGUUAAGCGAGAUGUGAAAGCCCCGGGCUCAACCUGGGAACCGCAUUUCGAACUGGCAAACUAGAGUCUUGUAGAGGGGGGUAGAAUUCCAGGUGUAGCGGUGAAAUGCGUAGAGAUCUGGAGGAAUACCGGUGGCGAAGGCGGCCCCCUGGACAAAGACUGACGCUCAGGUACGAAAGCGUGGGGAGCAAACAGGAUUAGAUACCCCUGUAGUCCCUGUCUCUUAUAU
rnacentral:rRNA from 1 species